GGUGCUUAGCUUGGUAAUUAUCAGAUUCAAGGUCCUCGUAUCAUUCUAAAAGGAUGAAAAUUCUCAACCCUCAGGUCAUGUUAUCAAAUUUCUCAUCAUUCUAAAAGGAUGAAAAUUCUCAACCCUCAGGUCAUGUUAUCAAAUUUCUCAUCAUUCUAAAAGGAUGAAAAUUCUCAACCCUCAGGUCAUGUUAUCAAAUUUCUCGAGUCUAAAAGAAGGUAAAAUGACUAUCAUAGUUAAGAGGAUGAGGUGAAAAUGACUAUUUCAAAAGAUAGGUAAAAUUUAUGGAACUUCGGGAAUUUUAGUUGGAACUGCGACGAGAAGUUACGGCAAAGAGAGAAAACUGAAAACAGAAUAUACGCAUGAAAAUAAAUUAAGACAAAGGUUAUGUUCUAUAUGAAGCAAAUGUUUUCCAGAAAAAUAAGUGGGGCUCCUUGCUUAUUUUCUUGCAUUUAGUACACGUAACAAAAAAUAUUAUCCUAAAAAAUAUAAUUUAGAUAAAUAUGGUCGAGCAGUAGGCAGGGUGUGGGGUGGUGGAGAAGGGGCUACGGGAGUGGCGGUGAAGAUGAGGUAUAUUGAAG
rnacentral:lncRNA from 1 species